CCCGCUGCGACGGAGGCCGGCUCGCCGGGUCACACACCGCUGCCUCGGCCGCCGCCGGGGAGCCGCCGUGGCAGUGCACGGAGCGCCGCUGGACGCCGCGGCCGCAGGACACCGAGCACUGGAGGAAGGGACAAGAGACUGAAACCAGGACAUGCUCAUCCUGAAGAUUUAUGCAUUUUGAAAACAACUCAGAAGAAGGCAGAGCCUGAAGAAUCAAAGCAGAAAGGAAACCAGCAGGCAAUGAACAUCACCAACAAGAAGAAAACAUCAAGUCCUAACAAACUAAAGUUAUAAAUUUCUAAUACGUCCAUCCCUUUACUGUCUUUGGGCUAAAUGCCAACAGUGGUACUCCAGCAAAAAUUCAAGUGCUCCUCAGUGCUCUCUGUGCAGGUCGACACCACUUUAAGGUGACAAUGAAAAUAAAGCAUAAAUUCACAGACUUGAUCUGUCGUGCCCCACAUCCCGAGCCAGUAAAGCAAAGUGCAUGCUUUCUCUAGUUUAAAAAACACAUUGGGCCUGGUACUUAUUGUAAAGAAAGAGUAACAACAUCAUUUUACAACACAAGUACAUUUCUGGGGACCUGAAGUUGUUUGAUAAACAUUUGAUCUUGCAAAUAAUAUGGUACCAGUAACUUCCAAAAUUGCUAUCCCCCUUCUACAAAUUGCUUACCUUUGGUGCGGAGCCAGAUUCUGACAUUUACCUUGGCAUCCGAUGCCACAGCAUGGCAGGACUACAGGCACAGUCUGGUGCACUUUGAGGUUGAGACAUAAUCAGACUAAUUUUGUUAAUACUUGAGUGUAAUUCUCAAGAUGCUGCAAUUAAUCAUUUCUAUGUCUGCCUUUAAUGUACAUUAAAGUUAGGCAGCUGUAUGUUUUUAGAUCUAAGACACCCAUUUGGUUUCACGCACAUGUGAGUUAUGAUCUCAUUUGCUCUGACAGAAAAGAGAGGCUGAACGACCCGAAGUAACCAAACAUUAGAAACCAAAAAUUCCUCUGCAAAGGCCCUACCUCAUAAUUACCUUCUAAUUCUUCGCAGCUACUUCCAACUUUUCUUUGGCAUGUAGAUUUUAGGCAUAUGCGAGCCACAUGCACGAAAUAAUUUGAUUGUCCUUAAUCUCACUGCCACGUGGCUGAGGGGAGCAACACACCUAGCUACUGCGGUCACCUCAUCAGGCAUUUCUGACCCUGGAGAAACUUUGCAUUUCAUUAGCAGGGCUCUUUGCAUCGCUGGAAACGCUGCUUACAGUAUCUAUUAAUAACGACGGC